GUGCCAGCAGCCGCGGUAAUACGGAGGAUCCGAGCGUUAUCCGGAUUUAUUGGGUUUAAAGGGAGCGUAGGCGGAUGUUUAAGUCAGUUGUGAAAGUUUAAGGCUCAACCUUGAAAUUGCAGUUGAUACUGGACGUCUUGAGUGCAUUAAAUGUGGGCGGCAUUCGUGGUGUAGCGGUGAAAGACUGAGAUAUCACGAAGAAUUCCAAUUGCGAAGGCAGCUCACAGGA
rnacentral:rRNA from 1 species